CUAGGCAGUUUGUCCCUGCCGCCGCCGCACUCACCUUCCGCCUCGGGAUCCUCCCACAUCCCCUUCUCACCCAACCAGCGAGCUCCUUCUAGCAUCCCUCGAUCCCCUCCUCAAUUUCUUCAUCGAGCCAACCAGUCACCUCGCCGGAGUCCAGCAGUCGCCAUCCAUGCGUGCCCCUAUUUCCUUCUCCCCCCUCGAGCUGUCUCUCUCUCUGAUUCCUCAAAUCCCCUUUCUUCUCUGUGUUCCACAGGACGCCAAGGAUGCAAUAGCUUGACCCCGCCGCUGCCGUUCGAACUCUCCGGCCGGAUCUCCCUCUGCUGCUGGGAACGGGUUCCCCGCACCCCGAUCUGCCUUCACCGUGUCGCCGCGCGACCACCUCGCCUCCUUGUCGGCCUCCUCCACCAACCCACCGUGCCGAGCAGCAGCACCCUGUCCGCCUCCCUCUUCCCAUCAAAGCCACCAGAAUCUCGCUUCUGGAGCAAGCAACUCCUCCUUGCCGCCCCAUGCGCUCCGGACCACCCCCGUCGCCAUGGAUGGGUGAGCCCCGCGCCCGAGCUCUGUAGGCCGCCGCCGUUGCCCGGAACCGAUGCCGGACGACUCGAACCGCCUCGUUCCGGCUGGUUCCGGCCGAUUCCAUUGCCAGGAACCCCCCCCUGUGUCUUCCUCUCCAUCGCCAUGGGCCUGCUGUUGUUUCUGUUCUUCAGAAACGAGAGCAGCAGCGGCUCCCUCAUCCUCGUGCGUUGACCCGCUCCAGCGCCAGCUCCCCUGCAUCGCUCGUCCCCUGCAUCGCGUGUGUGGCCUCUCGUGGCAGAUCGCCAAGGCCCACCGCGCCUCUGCCUAGCCGGCCUGCCCGGCCUCCUCCCACCGACCGGGCCUUGGCCCAUGUUCCGGUAAUGUUGCGAUUGUAAGGAUUCGUUCGACUACUCCCAUUCGUCUUCUUCAUG